rnacentral:rRNA from 1 species
AACGAACGCUGGCGGCAGGCCUAACACAUGCAAGUCGAGCGAGGACUUCGGUUCUAGCGGCGGACGGGUGAGUAACGCGUGGGAAUGUGCCCUUCUCUACGGAAUAGCCCUGGGAAACUGGGAGUAACACCGUAUACGCCCUUUUGGGGAAAGAUUUAUCGGAGAAGGAUCAGCCCGCGUUGGAUUAGGUAGUUGGUGGGGUAAUGGCCUACCAAGCCGACGAUCCAUAGCUGGUUUGAGAGGAUGAUCAGCCACACUGGGACUGAGACACGGCCCAGACUCCUACGGGAGGCAGCAGUGGGGAAUCUUAGACAAUGGGGGCAACCCUGAUCUAGCCAUGCCGCGUGAGUGAUGAAGGCCUUAGGGUUGUAAAGCUCUUUCAGCUGGGAAGAUAAUGACGGUACCAGCAGAAGAAGCCCCGGCUAACUCCGUG